UACGAAGGGGGCUAGCGUUGUUCGGAAUUACUGGGCGUAAAGCGCACGUAGGCGGACUACUAAGUCAGGGGUGAAAUCCCGGGGCUCAACCCCGGAACUGCCUUUGAUACUGAUAGUCUCGAGUCCGGAAGAGGUGAGUGGAAUUCCGAGUGUAGAGGUGAAAUUCGUAGAUAUUCGGAGGAACACCAGUGGCGAAGGCGGCUCACUGGUCCGGUACUGGACGCUGAGGUGCGAAAGCGUGGGGAGCAAACAGG
rnacentral:rRNA from 1 species